UGAACCUUGGGUCUAGGAUUGUUCAUUC
rnacentral:sRNA from 1 species